GUCAUAAAAAAAAAGAAAGAAAAAGAAAAGAAAAUGAAGGAUCAAAAACGUGAUUUGAGCAGAUAGAAGAGGCGGACAAUUGCCGCGCCAAUUAUUAGUGAAUUACAAAAAUUCCACUCUCCACAUAUUAAUAUUAAUAUUAAUAUUAAUAUUAAUAUUCAUAUUCAUAUUCAUAUUCAUAUUCAUAUUCAUAUUCAUAUUAUUUAGUUUAUUUAUACGCCGUCGCUGCUUGCCUCCUCAAACAAAAUUGCCUUCUACUUUUCUCUUACGCUCUAAUUUCUAAUUUUCCCUCAAAACACUUUCUCUAAUACAUACUUUUUCAAUAUGAAGAAAUCGGGUUUCAUCGCCGCCUCCGUUGCCGCCGCAUCCGCCUCCGCCGCCGUCGCCUCCCCUUCUUCCUCUACCCUUGUUUGCAACUCAAAAGUUCAAUUCCCUCGCCAGGAGGGAAAGGAAGGAGAGAACUCUUCUUCAUCGUCUUCCACCGAUAAAUUUGCUCCUAAAUUUGAUGGAUUGAGAUUUAUUGAAACUCUUGUAACGGCUCAUAGAUGAACUGCGCCGGCGACGGCGACGUUCGUGGUUGCAUUUGCGGAGAAGGGACCCACCGUGGCCGCAACUUUGUAUGUUGCCUACCUUUAUUGUUAAUUCUUCUUCUUCUUCUUCUUCUUCUUCUUCUUCUUCUUCUUUUUUAAUUUUUGUUGUCAAAAGAAAUGAUAGAUGCUAGGAAAUAUUGUUGGAAGUCUCUUAUUUUGGACAUUAAAGAAUAAUAAUUUUUAGUUUAUAUUUUUCAUUAUUUUAAUGAAAAAUUAGCAAAAGAUGGAAUGAAGAAAAA